GUGUAUGUACGCAUGGCCGCUACAGUGAAACUGUGAAUGGCUCAUUAAAUGAGUUAUGGUUCCUUUGAUCGCUCCAUCUGUUACUUGGAUAACUGUGGUAAUUCUAGAGCUAAUACAUGCCGACGAGUGCUGACCACCAGGGAUACGUGCAUUUAUCAGACCAAAACCCAUCCGGGUUAUGCUAUUGCCUCUAGUUCCCCCAUUUUGAUAUUUAGGCUCUUUGCAUUAGUAAGCAUACACUUAAUAUUAUCAUGAG